UUUGAUCAUGGCUCAGGAUUAACGCUGGCGGUAUGCCUAACACAUGCAAGUCGAACGGAAUACUAAUUAAGAGAAUCUCACACUAGUGAGAGGUUCUCACGAGUAGUAUUUAGUGGCGGACGGGUGAGUAACACGUUGGAACCUGCCCCGAAGUGGGGAAUAACUGCUCGAAAGAGUAGCUAAUACCCCAUAGUAUCCGGUUUAUCCGGAUUAAAGAUUUAUCGCUUCGGGAGGGGCCUGCGUCUGAUUAGCUAGUUGGUGAGGUAAAAGCUCACCAAGGCGACGAUCAGUAGCUGGUUCGAGAGGAUGACCAGCCACACUGGGACUGAGAUACGGCCCAGACUCCUACGGGAGGCAGCAGUGAGGAAUCUUCCACAAUGGGCGCAAGCCUGAUGGAGCAAUACCGCGUGCAGGAAGACGCUUUUCGGAGUGUAAACUGCUUUUGUCGUCGAAGAUUAUGACUGUAGACGAAGAAUAAGGACCGGCUAACUACGUG
rnacentral:rRNA from 1 species